CCUCCCCGCCCCGCCGAUUGGGCAGCGGGCUCGCCUCUCCCCGCCCCUCCAAGGACUCCGCUCUGUGAGGUGUCUGCGGCAAACAAGCCGUUAAAGGGAAAUCGCCAUAGGGAUAAACGACGGCUGGCGGCCAAACCGCCGCCCGCGAGGCGCCUGAGGAGCGCCGCUGCCUCCGUUUCCAGGAGCAUUUCAAGCACCGGCGCGCCCGCGCGACAGCUCUUAAUUAUUGCUUUUUUAUUUUGAUCAGGCUUCUCUGCAGGCUGCCGAGCGCUGAGGCCCGCAGAGGGGUAACCGCGCGAAGGCUGCCGGGAGUUGUAGUUCCGGGCUGGCUGGGGCCGAAUCGCAGGUCUGUGGCCGCCAUUUUCCGUCGCCCUGAGGGGCCCGUGAGGGGCAGCGGGGCCCGCCUUCACCCCGGGCUCGCGGGCGCGCCCGAGACGUGUCUGCGAACAUUUAUAUCCAUCGAGGGAGCGGGGGCCGAGCAGGGAGCACUCCUGGGGAACGCUCAGGGAGUACAGGCCAGGUAGCAUGUGGGACAGAAGCGAGGAGCCGCCCCGGCGCUGGACCGGUAGAACACACCGGUUGUUAACAAAACACGAGGCGUUCUGUGGGUAACCCGGCCCAAACGUGCCCCUCUGCAGCGCUGAUCUCCACACUGAGGCAGGAAAACCUUCCUUGCGGCUCCCUGCUGCCAAGAAGCCCGGCAGGAUCGGGGCUCUCGCUGAGAGACGCGCGGGGGGAGCGAGGGCAGCACGGCCCGGCGCAGGGAGCCCCGCGAGGCGCGGGUGGGUGAGUCAGGAGGAUGCCACGCUGCAAACGUGCACGUGUCAGGGCUGUGGACGAGGAAGGCCAGCUCAGCCCGCAGGGAGGGUGUGAAUCACGGCGAUCCCAGCAGGUCACAGCUGCUGUUGUCCCCAGAGCAGCUCCAGCCUCGUGACCCGGCCCUUACAGAGCUCUGCGAUGGCGAGACUGGAGUCAGCCAGCAGUGGAGACCGCUGCAAAGUCCUUGCGUCUGUUCUUUCCCUGAUUUUUCACUUCGUGCCUUCGUUAACACCUGGUACUCCCUGCCCUUGUGGAAUUCCCGGGGGGCGGGAGCAGCGCAGGUCCCGCCCGCUCUGUUUGAACCGGCUCCGGGAGCGCCUCUCCCCGCCAGGCUGGGGGUGCCUGGGGCAUUUGCCCAUCCCAACAGCACAGCCUUGGCCACACAGUACCUGUUGGGCAUGGCCAGGACCAGAGCAUCCAUCCACAUUCAUGUUUACCAGCUCUUCCAGCAGCCACAUCAGCAGGUGUUUGAAUUUCCAGUGCUGCCAGCCAGAGCUCUUGGCCUCAGUGCUGCCACGGGGUGUGGCUGAGCCUGUCUCCAUUCCAGGGACAGGAGUUCCUGCAGCCUCCUCGACCACUGCAGAAGGCUCUGAAGCCACACUGGCUCAGCCCAUGGCGCUGCUCCCUCCUGGCACAGCUCCCACACGCUGUGAUCCCGUUAGGAGUCAGCACAGCUUAGACCAAACACAGCCAAAGAGCUCCCACAGAGGACACAUCAUUUCAGGGGAAGCUGUACAGUGAUCCUGGAGGAAAAGCCCCUUUGGGUCAGUCCCCACCAGACACAAUUUCCUGUUUAAUUUCCUGACUGUUUCUUACUUGGUAAAGGAAAAGCUGUAAAUUGCAAGAUUGCUUCAGAGACCUUCCUCUGACUUCAGAUGAACUGUUAACCACUUGCAGGAGAGAAUCCAGCAAACCAGCACAAAACUUGGAAAAAAACCUCAAUUUCUUUUAUAUCUGGGGCGAUUCGCACCGAAAGGAAAGCUGUGCAAAAAAUAAAGGUUGGAA